rnacentral:rRNA from 1 species
CCACCUCAUCCCAUCCCGAACCGCGAAGUUAAGCCCGCCCGCGCCGAUGGUACUGCACCGCAAUGCGGGAGAGUAGGUCGCCGCCGUGC